GCCUGGGUGGCUCAGUGGUUGAGCAUCUGCCUUUGGUUCAGGUCAAGAUCCCAGGGUCCUGGGAUCAAGUCUCACCUUGGGCU
rnacentral:tRNA from 1 species